UCCUAUUGAUGUCUGACUAGGCCGUCCUGU
rnacentral:piRNA from 1 species